rnacentral:rRNA from 1 species
CGCGUAUGCAACCUACCUAUCAGAGGGGAAUAACCCGGCGAAAGUCGGACUAAUACCGCAUAAAACAGGGGCACCGCAUGGUGAUAUUUGUUAAAGAGAUUCGCUGAUAGAUGGGCAUGCGUUCCAUUAGGUAGUUGGUGAGGUAACGGCUCACCAAGCCGACGAUGGAUAGGGAACUGAGAGGUUGGUCCCCCACACUGGUACUGAGACACGGACCAGACUCCUACGGGAGGCAGCAGUGAGGAAUAUUGGUCAAUGGGCGGGAGCCUGAACCAGCCAAGUCGCCGUGAAGGAAGAAGGAUCUAUGGUUCGUAAACUUCUUUUGCAGGGGAAUAAAGUGCAGGACGUGUCCUGUUUUGUAUGUACCCUGAGAAUAAGGAUCGGCUAACUCCGUGCCAGCCGCAGC